GUCUGAAAAACAAGUUAAUAAACUAAAACUUUCAACAACGGAUCUCUUGGUUCUGGCAUCGAUGAAGAACGCAGCGAAAUGCGAUAAGUAAUGUGAAUUGCAGAAUUCAGUGAAUCAUCGAAUCUUUGAACGCACAUUGCGCCCCUUGGUAUUCCGAGGGGCAUGCCUGUUCGAGCGUCAUUU
rnacentral:rRNA from 1 species